UACGAAGGGGGCUAGCGUUGCUCGGAAUUACUGGGCGUAAAGGGCGCGUAGGCGGACAUUUAAGUCGGGGGUGAAAGCCCAGGGCUCAACCCUGGAAUAGCCUUCGAUACUGGAUGUCUUGAGUUCGGGGAGAGGUGAGUGGAAUGCCGAGUGUAGAGGUGAAAUUCGUAGAUAUUCGGCGGAACACCAGUGGCGAAGGCGGGUCACUGGGCGAACAACUGACGCUGAGGAGUGAAAGCGUGGGGAGCGAACAGG
rnacentral:rRNA from 1 species